rnacentral:rRNA from 1 species
UACGAAGGGGGCUAGCGUUGUUCGGAAUUACUGGGCGUAAAGCGCGCGCAGGCGGCUAUCCAAGUCAGUGGUGAAAGCCCGGAGCUCAACUCCGGAACUGCCAUUGAAACUGUUUAGCUUGAGGAUGAGAGAGGUGAGUGGAAUUCCCAGUGUAGAGGUGAAAUUCGUAGAUAUUGGGAGGAACACCAGAGGCGAAAGCGGCGACCUGGACAGGUACUGACACUCAACUACGAAAGCGUGGGGAGCAAACAGG